AACGCACAUUGCACCCCCUGGUAUUCCGGGGGGUAUGCCUGUUCGAGCGUCAUUAACAACCCUCAAGCUCUGCUUGGUAUUGGGCCCCGCCGACCCGGCGAGCCCUAAAAUCAGUGGCGGUGCCAUCUGGCUCCGAGCGUAGUAAUUCUUCUCGCUUUGGAGGCCGGGUGUGUGCUUGCCAGCAACCCCCAAUUUUUUUAAGUUUGACCUCGGAUCAGGUAGGGAUACCCGCUGAACUUAA
rnacentral:misc_RNA from 2 species